AGACAAAGUAUCAGGAUGGAGAAGAUGCAGGGAUCUGUGCUAAUUAUAUUUUGGCUUCAUUUUGGCUGUCUGCAGUGGUACAGACAGGACGCAGGGACAGGUCUCAGACACCUCUUCUCCAUGUAUUCCGCUGGGGAUGUGCAGCAGAAGGGAAGACUACGAGCCACGUUGCUGAAGGGUGGAAGCAGCUUGAACAUCACAGCCGUGCAGCAUGGAGACUCAGCCACCUACCUCUGUGCUGUAAGAGGCUUUCAGCAGCUCAAGUUUGGAACUGGCACACAAGUUUUGAUCAGCCCAACCAUCAAGGACCCUGACCCGACUGUGUACCAGCUGAGAAACUCUAAAUCCAGAAACACUGUCUGCCUAUUCACCGAUUUUGAUUCUAACACCAACGUGCCAUUACAACUUACCAAGGAUUCUGAAAUGUUUGUCUCCAAAAACACUGUGCUGGACAUGAAGUCCAUGGAUUCCAAGAGCAACGGCGCCUUGGCCUGGAGCAACAAAACUGACUUCACUUGUAAGAGUGCCUUCACCCAGAACAUCUUCUUCCCCAGCUCAGAGAUUCCCUGUGAUGCGAAGUUGGUAGAGAAAAGCUUUGAAACAGAUAUAAACCUAAACUUUCAAAACCUGUCAGUGAUGGGGCUCCGCAUCCUCCUCCUGAAAGUGGCUGGCUUUAACGUACUCAUGACGCUACGGCUGUGGUCCAACUGAGGUCGGCAAGAUUAUAAGGACCUGAGCUCCCUCAUCCUUCCUCCUCUUCCCUCCUCUCUCUUCUUCAAGCAAAGGGAAUCUCCCACCUCCAUGAAGAAGGCGGCUCCAUUGCCUUUUUGGCCCCCACUGACAAAGCCACCAACUGGAUCUACCCAAAUUUGUCAUGAAGAUUGCUAAAGAGCUGCCAAACGCUGCUGCCACCCCCUCCAUUCCCAGACUGCUGCUUGUCACCAUUCUCAGCAAAAGUAGGGGCUGCUGCAGCCUCUCCUAGCUGUGGAGAAUCCCUCCCCCUCCCCAGAGACUGCCUCUGAUGGAUCCCCCUGGGGUUUCUUAGACUUUAGUUCCUGGAGAAUGUUCUCCAGUUUAUAUUUUUUAAACAUUGUUCAUAAAGAAGUACUUUAUUAUUCUUUUUCUCAAGAUGUGGGGAAAAUUAGCUCAUUAUCUAGGUCCUGCUAUGCUGUGUAUCUGAGGCACAUUGUGUAUUAUUCUGCUACUCGCGGCUUCAUUAAAAAUGAUUUAGAAGAGCAGA